UGUGUGUGUGGUGUGUGUAUAUAAUGCAGUGUGUUUGUGUAGUGUGUUUAUAUAGUGCACACUACACAAACACAUUGCAUUAUAUACACACACUAUACAAAC
rnacentral:miRNA from 1 species